rnacentral:lncRNA from 1 species
UCAAAAUAGACUGCAGAUAGUUCAAAAUCUUAAAUGAACUUUUUUGUAUCUUCGUAAUAAGUCGUAAUACAAGAGAAGGACAUACAGAUCAAUUAGAUAGAAAUCCAUAUUGCCGAUCGUCAACUGUACAUGAUGAUUGUUGCAGCUUGUUAAUGAAGUGUAAAAACCGUUACAAAGAAAUGUAAGUGAAGAGCUCACAAACAAUGAAGUAAACGUAGAAAGUGGAGUCACCCUUAUAACAAGAGAAUUUUUAUUUAUCUUGUUGUGAUUGUUAUAUCUGUUUUCUUUUAGAGCUCCCGUUUAAAGACGGUUCAUCUUAACACGUGUGUAACACAUGUUUCUUUAAAAUAAUACAAAUUUAGAAAAGAAGAA